GGCCCCUUAGUUAAAUGGAUAUAACAGUCCCCUCCUAAGGGAUAGUUGCAGGUUCGAUUCCUGCAGGGGCCGCCA
rnacentral:tRNA from 7 species